GGGUCACUCAUAGGCUGUUACACUGGCUCCUCAAAGUUGAAGGGAACUUUCUCACAUAUUAAAUUGCCAGCUUGAGAAACGUCUUAUUUAAAGCUGAGGGUAGAGAAUAUGGUUGUGUUUCUUGGCAACCCUGGCUCGAGAAAGGACACUGUCACUGGAAUAAAGAUUUUCAUGGUCUCCACUCACAGGAGAAGCAAGGCAUGCAAGCCCACAGCCCUCUGUACUUCCCUUUCUCCCCUAUGUGCUGAAUAUCUUGUGUUGGGUCACGGGGGAUUCAGGGUGCUUGUGGCCCAUGUGGGCUAGGCCCAGAUGUGGGCUUCCCCCAGCCCCUAGAUCCAUGUUUAGUCCCUUCUCCUAUUCCCACUCAGGGGGUUCUU
rnacentral:lncRNA from 1 species